UCUCUUGUAGUACACUGGUUAGGACAUGGGUCUAAUAAGCCUAAGAAGGAGGUUCGAUUCCUCCCAGGAGAA